AACGAACGCUGGCGGCAGGCUUAACACAUGCAAGUCGAACGCCCCGCAAGGGGAGUGGCAGACGGGUGAGUAACGCGUGGGAACAUGCCCAAAGGUACGGAACAACUCCGGGAAACUGGAGCUAAUACCGUAUGUGACCGAGAGGUGAAAGAUUUAUCGCCUUUGGAUUGGCCCGCGUUGGAUUAGCUAGUUGGUGGGGUAAAGGCCUACCAAGGCGACGAUCCAUAGCUGGUCUGAGAGGAUGAUCAGCCACACUGGGACAGAGACACGGCCCAUACUCCUACGGGAGGGAGCAGUGGGCAAUCUUGCGCAAUGGGCGAAAGCCUUACGCAGCCAUGUGGCUUGAAUGAUGAAGGUCUUAGGAUUGUAAAAUUCUUUCACCGGGGACGAUAAUGACGGUCCCCGGAGAAGAAGCCCCGGCUAACUUCGUGCCAGCCGCCGCCGUAAAAC
rnacentral:rRNA from 1 species